rnacentral:rRNA from 1 species
AUUGAACGCUGGCGGCAGGCCUAACACAUGCAAGUCGAGCGGAUGAAGGGAGCUUGCUCCUGGAUUCAGCGGCGGACGGGUGAGUAAUGCCUAGGAAUCUGCCUGGUAGUGGGGGAUAACGUCCGGAAACGGGCGCUAAUACCGCAUACGUCCUGAGGGAGAAAGUGGGGGAUCUUCGGACCUCACGCUAUCAGAUGAGCCUAGGUCGGAUUAGCUAGUUGGUGGGGUAAAGGCCUACCAAGGCGACGAUCCGUAACUGGUCUGAGAGGAUGAUCAGUCACACUGGAACUGAGACACGGUCCAGACUCCUACGGGAGGCAGCAGUGGGGAAUAUUGGACAAUGGGCGAAAGCCUGAUCCAGCCAUGCCGCGUGUGUGAAGAAGGUCUUCGGAUUGUAAAGCACUUUAAGUUGGGAGGAAGGGCAGUAAGUUAAUACCUUGCUGUAUUGACGUUACCAGCAGAAUAAGCACCGGCUAACUUCGUG